rnacentral:lncRNA from 1 species
UUUUGUGAUUUUUCGGGGUUCGUUUGGACAAUUUUAUGCAUUAAGUGAGUUUUCAAUGCAUUUAUGUGCAUAAUUCAAAUUUGAAGUACAUGCACAUGCUCCGGUGCAUAUAAGUUGGUUGAAAAAUCAAAUCUUUCGUCCUUGGGUGCAUGCUUAGGUCCCAUGCAAGAAAUGGGAAUGAAUGUCAAACACACUGCCACCGUCACUCGGCCGCAAACAUUGAGAUACCUGGUUUUUAAAUUCUAGUAAAUCCAAAACUCAUCUCAAGUUAAUGACACUUGGCAUUCUAUCAUGGAGCGGCAUCAACAUGGCGUGGUAAUUUUUUUGUCCCAUUUGGGGCAGGUUUGGGUAUAUGCUUCUCAUAAACCAGAGCUUCUCACAACAAGCAUGAUGGUUUCGUGAGGGAACACCCCAAAUUUGGGGACGAAACGAUAUCCAUUGCCUCUCAUUGCUUUCAAAUGUUUUCUCGUGUCAACAUAGAACAAAAGGAGUGUUUUGUUAUUGUUUGUGAUUUUUUGGGGUUCGUUUGGACAUUUUUAUGCAUUAAGUGAGUUUCCAAUGCAUUUAUGUGCAUAAUUCAAAUUUCAACUACAUGCACAUGCUCCGGUGCAUAUAAAUUGGUUGAAAAAUCAAAUCUUUUGUCCUUGGGUGCAUGCUUAGGUCCCAUGCAAGAAAUGGGAAUGAAUGUCAAACACACUGCCACCGUCACUCGGCCGCCAACAUUGAGAUACCUGGUUUUUAAAAUCCUAGUAAAUCGAAAACUCAUCUCAAAUUAAUGAAACUUGGCAUUCUAUCAUGGAGCGGCAUCAACAUGGCAUGGUAAUUUUUUUGUCCCAUCUGGAGCAGGUUUGGGUAUAUACUUCUCACAAACCAGAGCUUCUCACGACAAGCAUGAUGGUUUCGGUAGGGAACGCCCCAACUUCGGGGACGAAACGAUAUGCAUUGCCUCUUAUUGCUUUCAAAUUUUAUCUCGUGUCAACAUAGAACAACAUGAGUGUUUUGUUAUUUUUUGUGAUUUUUCGGGGUUCGUUUGGACAUUUUUAUGCAUUAAGUGAGUUCCCAAUGCAUUUAUUUGCAUAAUUCAAAUUUAACUACAUGCACAUGCUCCGGUGCAUAUAAAUUGGUUGAAAAAUCAAAUCUUUUGUCCUUGGGUGCAUGCUCAGGUCCCAUGCAAGAAAUGGGAAUGAAUGUCAAACACCCUGCCACCGUCAGUCGGCCGCAAACAUUGAGAUACCUGGUUUUCAAAUUCUAGUGAAUCCAAAACUCGUCUGAAAUUCAUGAAACUUGGCAUGCUAUCAUGGAGCGGCAUCAACAUGGCGUGGUAAAUUUUUUGUCCCAUCUGGGACAAGUUUGGGUAUAUGCUUCUCACAAACCAGAGCUUCUCACAACAAGCAUGAUGGUUUCGGUAGCGAACGCCCCAACUUUGGGAACGAAACGAUAUCCAUUGCCCCUUAUUGCUUUCAAAUGUUUUCUCGUGUCAACAUAGAACAACAGGAGUGUUGUGUUAUUUUUCUGAUUUUUCGGGGUUCGUUUGGACAUUUUUAUGCAUUAAGUGAGUUUUCAAUGCAUAUAUGUGCAUAAUUCAAAUUUGAACCACAUGCACAUGCUCCGGUGCAUACAAAUUGGUUGAAAAAUCAAAUCUUUUGUCCUUGGGUGCAUGCUAAGGUCCCAUGCAAGAAAUGGGAAUGAAUGUCAAACACCCUGCCACCAUCACUCGGUCGCAAACAUUGAGAUACAUGGUUUUUAAAUUCUAGUACAUCCAAAACUCGUCUGAAAUUCAUGAAACUUGGCAUGCUAUCAUGGAGCGGCAUCAACAUGGCAUGGUAAUUUUUUUGUCCCGUUUGGGGCAGGUUUGGGUAUAUGCUUCUCACAAACCAGAUCUUCUCACAACAAGCAUGAUGGUUUCGGUAGGGAACGCUCCAACUUUGGCUACGAAACGAUAUGCAUUGCCUCUUAUUGCUUUCAAAUUUUUUCUCGUGUCAACAUAGAACAACAGGAGUGUUGUGUUAUUUUUUGUGAUUUUUCGGGGUUCGUUUGGACAAUUUUAUGCAUUAAGUGAGUUUUCAAUGCAUUUAUGUGCAUAAUUCAAAUUUGAAGUACAUGCACAUGCUCCGGUGCAUAUAAAUUGGUUGAAAAAUCAAAUCUUUCGUCCUUGGGUGCAUGCUUAGGUCCCAUGCAAGAAAUGGGAAUGAAUGUCAAACACACUGCCACCGUCACUCGGCCGCAAAUGUUGAGAUACCUGGUUUUUAAAUUCUAGUAAAUCCAAAACUCAUCUCAAGUUAAUGACACUUGGCAUUCUAUCAUGGAGCGGCAUCAACAUGGCGUGGUAAUUUUUUUGUCCCAUUUGGGGCAGGUUUCGGUAUAUGCUUCUCAUAAACCAGAGCUUCUCACAACAAGCAUGAUGGUUUCGUGAGGGAACACCCCAACUUUGGGGACGAAACGAUAUCCAAUCCCUCUUUUUGCUUUCAAAUGUUUUCUCGUGCCAACAUAGAACAACAGGAGUGUUUUGUUAUUUUUUGUGAUUUUUCGGGGUUCGUUUGGACAUUUUUAUGCAUUAAGUGAGUUUCCAAUGCAUUUAUGUGUAUAAUUCAAAUUUGAACUACAUGCACAUGCUCCGGUGCAUAUAAAUUGGUUGAAAAAUCAAAUCUUUUGUCUUGGGUGCAUGUUUAGGUCCCAUGCAAGAAGUGGGAAUGAAUGCCAAACACACUGCCACCGUCAGUCGGCGGCAAACAUUGAGAUACCUGGUUUUUAAAUUGUAGUAAAUGCAAAACUCAUCUCAAAUUAAUGAAACUUGGCAUUCUAUCAUGGAGCGGCAUCAACAUGGCGUGGUAAUUUUUGUCAAAUCUGGAGCAGGUUUGGGUAUAUACUUCUCACAAACCAGAGCUUCUCACGACAGGCAUGAUGGUUUCGGUAGGGAAAGCCCCAACUUUGGGGACGAAACGAUAUCCAUUCCCUCUUAUUGCUUUCAAAUUUUAUCUCGUGUCAACAUAGAACAAAAUGAGUGUUUUGUUAUUUUUUGUGAUUUUUCAGGGUUCGUUUGGACAUUUUGAUGCAUUAAGUGAGUUUCCAAUGCAUUUAUGUGCAUAAUUCAAAUUUAACUACAUGCACAUGCUCCGGUGCAUAUAAAUUGGUUGAAAAAUCAAAUCUUUUAUCCUUGGGUGCAUGCUUAGGUCCCAUGCAAGAAAUGAGAAUGAAUGUCAAACACCCUACCACCGUCACUCGGCCGCAAACAUUGAGAUACCUGGUUUUUAAAUUCUAGUGAAUCCAAUACCCGUCUGAAAUUCAUGAAACUUGGCAUGCUAUCAUGGAGCGGCAUCAACAUGGCGUGGUAAUUUUUUUGUCCCAUUUGGGACAGGUUUGGGUAUAUGCUUCUCACAAACCAGAGCUUCUCACAACAAGCAUGAUGGUUUCGGCAGGGAACGCCCCAACUUUGGGGAUGAAACGAUAUCCAUUGCCUCUUAUUGCUUUCAAAUGUUUUCUCGUGUCAACAUAGAACAACAGGAGUGUUGUGUUAUUUUUUUGAUGUUUCGGGGUUUGUUUGGACAUUUUUAUGCAUUAAGUGAGUUUUCAAUGCAUUUAUGUGCAUAAUUCAAAUUUGAACUACAUGCACAUGCUCUGGUGCAUAUAAAUUGGUUGAAAAAUCAAAUCUUUUGUCCUUGGGUGCAUGCUAAGGUCCCAUGCAAGAAAUGGGAAUUAAUGUCAAACACCCUGCCACCAUCACUCGGUCGCAAAUAUUGAGAUACAUGGUUUUUAAAUUCUAGUAAAUCCAAAACUCGUCUGAAAUUCAUGAAACUUGGCAUGCUAUCAUGGAGCGGCAUCAACAUGGCAUGGUAAGUUUUUGUCCCAUUUGGGGCAGGUUUGGGUAUAUGCUUCUCACAAACCAGAUCUUCUCACAACAAGCAUGAUGGUUUCGGUAGGGAACGCCCCAACUUUGGGGAUGAAACGAUAUCCAUUGCCUCUUAUUGCUUUCAAAUUUUUUCUCGUGUCAACAUAGAACAACAGGAGUGUUGUGUUAUUUUUUUUUGAUUUUUCGGGGUUCGUUUGGACAUUUUUAUGUAUUAAGUGAGUUUUCAAUGCAUUUAUGUGCAUAAUUCAAAUUUGAAGUAUUUGCACAUGCUCCGGUGCAUAUAAAUUGGUUGAAAAAUCAAAUCUUUCGUCCUUGGGUGCAUGCUGAGGUCCCAUCUAAGAAAUGGGAAUGAAUGUCAAACACACUGCCACCGUCACUCGGCCGCAAACAUUGAGAUACCUGGUUUUUAAAUUCUAGCAAAUACAAAACUCAUCUCAAAUUAAUGAAACUUGGCAUUCUAUCAUGCAUCGGCAUCAACAUGGCGUGGUAAUUUUUUUGUCCCAUUUCGGGCAGGUUUGGGUAUAUGCUUCUCAUAGACCAGACCUUCUCACAACAAGCAUGAUGGUUUCGUGAGGGAACACCCCAACUUUGGGGACGAAAUGAUAUCCAUUGCCUCUUAUUGCUUUCAAAUGUUUUCUCAUGUCAACAUAGAACAACAGGAGUGUUUUGUUAUUUUUUGUGAUUUU